rnacentral:misc_RNA from 1 species
GCAGUAUCACCCCAACCUCUCUCCAGGCCAAUUUCCUGGAACUUGUGCUCGAAUUGAGAGUAUGGAGUCUCAGGGGACAAUGCAGUAAGAUACUCCUCGGCCUUCCUCAGAACAUAUUGCAAGGAAUCCAAGUUAUGAAUUCUGUCAUUCAGCAUCAUGUUCUUUCCCUUGUGGCAGUGGACUUUCAGAAACUCGAGCAGAGGAUGCAAGCUCUCCUUGUCAUGGAACAAUUUUGCAGAAAGGUGACG